UACAGAGGUCUCAAGCGUUGUUCGGAUUCAUUGGGCGUAAAGGGUGCGUAGGCGGCGCGGUAAGUCGGGGUGUGAAAUCUCGGGGCUUAACUCCGAAACUGCAUUCGAUACUGCCGUGCUUGAGGACUGGAGAGGAGACUGGAAUUUACGGUGUAGCGGUGAAAUGCGUAGAUAUCGUAAGGAAGACCAGUGGCGAAGGCGGGUCUCUGGACAGUUCCUGACGCUGAGGCACGAAGGCCAGGGGGAGCAAAACGGGG
rnacentral:rRNA from 1 species